UUUAGAGUUUGAUCCCUGGCUCAGGACGAACGCUGGCGGCGUGCCUAAUACAUGCAAGUCGAGCGGACUGAUGGGAGCUUGCUCCCUGAUGUUAGCGGCGGACGGGUGAGUAACACGUGGGCAACCUACCUGUAAGACUGGGAUAACUCCGGGAAACCGGGGCUAAUACCGGAUAACCCGUUCCUCCUCAUGGAGGGACGGUAAAAGAUGGCUUCUUGCUAUCACUUACAGAUGGGCCCGCGGCGCAUUAGCUAGUUGGUAAGGUAAUGGCUUACCAAGGCGACGAUGCGUAGCCGACCUGAGAGGGUGAUCGGCCACACUGGGACUGAGACACGGCCCAGACUCCUACGGGAGGCAGCAGUAGGGAAUCUUCCGCAAUGGACGAAAGUCUGACGGAGCAACGCCGCGUGAGUGAUGAAGGUUUUCGGAUCGUAAAGCUCUGUUGUUAGGGAAGAACAAGUGCCGUUCGAAUAGGGCGGCACCUAGACGGUACCUAACCAGAAAGCCACG
rnacentral:rRNA from 1 species